CCUACGGGAGGCAGCAGUGGGGGAUAUUGCACAAUGGGGGAAACCCUGAUGCAGCGACGCCGCGUGAGUGAAGAAGUAUUUCGGUAUGUAAAGCUCUAUCAGCAGGGAAGAAAAUGACAGUACCUGACCAAGAAGCCCCGGCUAACGACGUGCCAGCAGCCGCGGUAAGACGGAGGGGGCAAGCGUUAUCCGGAUUUACUGGGUGGAAAGGGAGCGGAGACUGUUUUGUAAGUCUGGAGUGAAAGCCCGGGGCCCAACCCCGGGCCUGCUUUGGAAACUGUGUAACUGGAGUACAGGAGGGGCAGGCGGAAUUCCUGGUGUAGCGGUGAACUGCGUAGAUAUCAGGAGGAACACCGGCGGCGAAGGCGGCCUGCUGGACUGAAACUGACGUUGAGGCUCGAAAGCGUGGGGAGCAAACAGGAUUAGAUACCCCUGUAGUC
rnacentral:rRNA from 1 species